UACAGAGGGGGCAAGCGUUGUUCGGAAUUAUUGGGCGUAAAGGGCGCGUAGGUGGCCUUCUAAGUCGAACGUGAAAUCCCUGGGCUCAACCCAGGAACUGCGUCCGAGACUGGGAGGCUUGAAUCCGGGAGAGGGAUGCGGAAUUCCAGGUGUAGCGGUGAAAUGCGUAGAUAUCUGGAGGAACACCGGUGGCGAAGGCGGCAUCCUGGACCGGGAUUGACACUGAGGCGCGAAAGCCAGGGGAGCAAACGGG
rnacentral:rRNA from 1 species